rnacentral:rRNA from 1 species
UACAGAGGGGGCAAGCGUUGUUCGGAAUUACUGGGCGUAAAGGCGCGUAGGCGGCCUGCUAAGUCGAACGUGAAAUCCCUGGGCUCAACCCAGGAACUGCGUCCGAUACUGGUUGGCUUGAAUCCGGGAGAGGGACGUGGAAUUCCAGGUGUAGCGGUGAAAUGCGUAGAUAUCUGGAGGAACACCGGUGGCGAAGGCGACGUCCUGGACCGGCAUUGACGCUGAGGCGCGAAAGCCAGGGGAGCAAAGCGGG